rnacentral:rRNA from 1 species
GUGGGGAAUAUUGGACAAUGGGCGAAAGCCUGAUCCAGCCAUGCCGCGUGUGUGAAGAAGGUCUUCGGAUUGUAAAGCACUUUAAGUUGGGAGGAAGGGCAGUAAGUUAAUACCUUGCUGUUUUGACGUUACCGACAGAAUAAGCACCGGCUAACUUCGUGCCAGCAGCCGCGGUAAUACGAAGGGUGCAAGCGUUAAUCGGAAUUACUGGGCGUAAAGCGCGCGUAGGUGGUUUUGUAAGUUGGAGGUGAAAUCCCCGGACUCAACCUGGGAACUGCCUCCAAAACUGCAUGACUAGAGUACGGUAGAGGGUAGUGGAAUUUCCUGUGUAGCGGUGAAAUGCGUAGAUAUAGGAAGGAACACCAGUGGCGAAGGCGACUACCUGGACUGAUACUGACACUGAGGUGCGAAAGCGUGGGGAGCAAACAGGAUUAGAUACCCCGGUAGUCC